CCGCAAGAGGCGCGGUGAUAAACUGUUCGUUCUUUCGCCAUUACCCACCAGGCACGUUAAUGGCGACAGUCGAGGGAUUUUAAAAACUCACUGUUUUUCAAGAGUUGAAAUAAUAAUAGCGUGUUAAAAAUCCCAGAGGACAAGGGUCAGACGUGGCUCGUUUUAAGGGUGGAAUUUUUCAAAUAUAUACUCAUUAAUCCUUCGAAUUUCACGGAAUCCCAAGCGCUCCGAAUCGACGUACCAAAUAUCUAUAACACUCCAUGCACAUUCCAACCGAUAAUGCGACGUUAUACAGCUGACGAUCAUUCCGAAAGGAGCAAAUACAUGCACGAUAAAAAGAAAAGAAAACAUUUUAGUUGUUCUACGAGACACGAAGGAUAUACUUCGAGUAUCGUCCCCCAAGGAAUUUUACGUCUGCCUCCUUCCUUUCCAUCUCUUUUCUCUUUCCCUCAGUCUGGAUGGAAAGAAAGUAGUCUGCCCCAUAUCUUACAGACACAUGCACGGUGCAUUCGAUGUCAACUGUAUUCCCCGAAGCACUCCCAUUUUCUCGUGGGUCAAAGCCACGGAGCGACGAGUGCUGGACACUGAAACGAGACAUUGAGCUGAGAACUUGGACUAGGCCAAGCGAAUGGAUGUCAAACACUUGAAGAAGAUGCGAGGCAAAACAGCGGAAAAGAUGGAUGAUCGGAGGCACGCGUUCGGUUAAUCUCGAAAUUGUCAUGAUCGAUUUUCCUUCAGUUUAAAGAAAACGAAUUCGGAAGGAUGUGGAAGAGCCCAUGGAGAGAGAUUAGUUAUUCAAUUGAGUGGCAUCAAGCCUGGAGCUGCACUGUGGUGCAUUGUUCUCGUUUUUGUGUGAAAACCAAUAACAGCUCUUUAACGAUGAGAAGAGGGCUGCAGCCAAAGGACGCGAAAGAAACUGGUUAGCCACGAGCUCCGUUCCGUGCGAAUACAUUUCUGACGUUUGCCCAUGGGAGAAGUACAAUUCAAGAUGCAGAGCGAGCACAACACCAAUGACGUGACAUCGAAAAAGGAGAGGGAACGAAUGUUGUUGCAUCGUAUCAGCAUCGAGCCAGAAACGAUGAACCAUUAUCCGAAGUGUCAUGACAAAAAAAAAGCUCUCUGCGGAGUCGAGCAGCUUCGCAUACGUUCAGGUACGAUUUCGGUAUGGAAUACCGGAUAACGGUGGUGGAAACAACGAUUUACGGUGUUGGAAAGGAGGAGGUACUCGGCGCGAGGCGAGGAACACAAUCGAGCGUUAUUUCGAGCUCUUUGUUAUCACUCGCGGCCCACGGUACACCAGGGAAAAUGCUAACGAGACUCACCUGACAAAGGCGUAACCCUUGUCUUUGAAGACUCGAAUCUCUUGGAUAGAGCCAAAGGGUGAAAAGGUCUUCUGCAUGAGCUCUUCCUGUCUCCGUGAUCGAUCACGUGCUUCUCGAUCGCGUUCAACGAAACCAGCCACAAAGAGUCUACAGCACACGGACGACAGGACUCUGUGUAUAAGCAGAAAAUAAGAGAGGACCGAUUUACGCGAAGAGAAAGAGAGAAGUCGCGGGAGUCGCGCACCUGUUGAGCCCUUUUGCGUGAGAACAGCGCCGCCCAUACGGUACAAAGGAUUCAGCAGCUAUAUCAGCGAAAGGAGUCUCGUCUUGCGCGGAAAUACAUAUACCACUUUCGUGAUGAUCUAAAAGGACCUGGAGUACGGUUGAUGGAAACAUUUUGGUCACGGACGACGUGGUACGAAAUCAGACAUCGUCGAGCCGUGAGAAAUCAGACAUUCGGGUCUGACGGAAACGAUUCAUAUUGUCGGACUCGGUACUUCCAGUGGAGCUCGCGGAUAUUUUCGUGGAAUGAGAAAAAUGAGGAAAUUUCGAUGCUGAAUGAGAAUAUUCGAGGAGAGUCGGUCUCGGAAGGGAUUGAACAAAAGUAGAAAGCAGAAUGGAGUCAGCACUUUUAACGGGAAUCACUUGGCCUUCUUAUUCCGCAGUCUCAACGUCCAACAACCACCGAAACAACCCCUUUCGUACGUACCGGAGUACGAAAGCUUUCUCGCCCUGUUCUCCUCUAUCGCGAUUCAUUUACCACGAAAUUACAACAAUUUCAUGCAAAGCAGGCCCGGCUCGGGGGUUCGGUAGUUGUGAGGGGCUGGUUCUCGCCUCACUGGCCCUCGGCUUGAAAUCCCGCGAGCGUUUCUACACCCCCGUUCCUUCAACACCUAUACAUACAUCAAUUGAAAUCAUAGAAGAGGAGAAAAAACGUCCGAUGAGAAGAGUUGACGCCGACAGCUAGAGGAGAAAAAGAUUGCGCGCCGAUCGACCGGCUCUAUGCAUUUGAACACGUACAUCGCAACGAGAGCCGUCGAGCCAUCAGCUAACGGCUGAGGCGAAGAAAAACGGCUCUCUUCCCCAGCGCUCUGCGAGCUCGAGAAAAAAACACAAAGAAACUACAGAAAGAAAAACAAAGGGGGCCUAUUUUAUGCAAAUGCAUGCCGCGACUUCUUGUCUCCUUCGCCCCCAUCAUCCCCCUC